UACGAAGGGGGCUAGCGUUGCUCGGAAUCACUGGGCGUAAAGGGUGCGUAGGCGGGUCUUUUAAGUCAGGGGUGAAAUCCUGGAGCUCAACUCCAGAACUGCCUUUGAUACUGAAGAUCUUGAGUUCGGGAGAGGUGAGUGGAACUGCGAGUGUAGAGGUGAAAUUCGUAGAUAUUCGCAAGAACACCAGUGGCGAAGGCGGCUCACUGGCCCGAUACUGACGCUGAGGUGCGAAAGCGUGGGGGAGCAAACAGG
rnacentral:rRNA from 1 species